AGCGCACGGAGGGACAUAUGCUGAAUGCUCCCAGGAGAGACCCAGGAGGUGAAGCCGUGUGAGCAUCUUGCCCUGAAGACAGUCUGCUCCGAGGGAGAGGAGGCUCCCCAGAGUCCUGACUGGCUUUGUGGGGAGCAGUUCCAGAGCAUCGCCCGGGGACUCCGUGACACGUGUAAUUAAAGCAGAUGUUUGUGCUUUGCAGUGCCUGGCGUCAGUGUCCUUGGCGCCUCGGUGAGUGGCCUGACGCACUGAUCCUGGAGACGUUCAGCACCUGCCAACCCUGCCGGCUUCCCAGCAGAGCCAGAGGCCCCAGGUUCGAAGGCUGUGACUAUUAUUAUUUGUGUUCUGACAGCACCGAGAGCCCUCCACUGAAAUCAGGGUCCCCCCUUGUAGGCCCAUCUCUGAGAGGAGCCCCCCAGCCAUUCCCCAGCACCCCACACCAUGCUGAUGCCUUGUCCCGCCUCCAUUACCUGACAUUGCGUGUUCACCUGCUCUCAGCGUCCUGGCCGAAUCUCCGCCCUUGCUGGGACCCUGAACCUCCAGCUUCUCUGGCCUGGGCCAGAGCUUGGCUGAGCCUGGGACCUACACACUGGGCUUUGGUGUGUAGGGCGGGAAGGCGGGGGGGAGCCCUUGCCCCGGGUGAUGGGACACAACUGGCUGCAGGUUCAGCCCAAACAAUCAGGGAACUUUUCCAAACAGGGAGACAGGGAGAGUUCAGGCUCAUCUGGCCACAUGCUGAGUUCCUGGAUCUCCCCGGGCAGAGCGCCUCCUGCAGGGAGUCCUGCCUCCAGCCCACACCUCCUGGCACCGCGGUCAGCCCAAGAUGGUCAGUCGUGAGGUACAGACUCCAUGCGAGGAAGGAAGCCUCCACCACACCCCAGGUCAGUGCUGUCAGGCAGCGGAGAGAAGCCCCAUUGAAAAGUGGCCCCGACGCAGGACUGGAGAAGUUGGACCAAUGGAAGGGACCUCGAGAGAUCACGAAUCCAGCCCCCUGCGUGGAGGCAGCGCCAUGUAACCCUAGACCAUCCCUGACA
rnacentral:lncRNA from 1 species